rnacentral:tRNA from 4 species
AGGUCUAUAGCUCAGUUGGUUAGAGCGCUACCUUGACAUGGUAGAGGUCAGCAGUUCGAAUCUGCUUAGACCUACCA